UUACGAUUACGUGCUUUCCCACCGCGCGAGAUUUCUCCCUUUGCACAAGUACAAGCAAAUCGGAUAGGUAAGACGCCCAAGGGGUCGAAAUCAAUGGACAAAGAAAAGGGAGCUAUUGUGUUCAUUUACGCAAGGAGCACACGUGUGCAGGCAAUCCCACGGUCUCGCAGGGAGGGUGUUUAUGGUCUAUAUAUAUAAGGGUGCAAUGUUUUCGAAAUAUUACUACUGAAUUUGAAGUGCAACAGUAAACAACAACGGGGACCCGUCGGGUCCCCGAGCCAUCUAAAUGCAAAACACGAACGUCUUUUGCAAAGUAGUUAUCACUAGUUUGUCAAUUGAAACUUUAAAGUUGAAGUGAAGUUAAUUAAUGUUUAGAUAAUUGAAAAGUGUUUUAAGCUCUAUCGAGUAUCCACUGAUUAUAUGAAUGGUGAGAUGAAAUCAACCAAAGCUUACAUUACUUGAGAUUGUGAAGAGUAAGUGUUGAGUUUAAGAAUCAUGUUCAGCCAGAAAGAAAUAAGAAAAAUAUUAACAUGUUCAAAUGCCUAAAGAUACUACAAUUAGGAGCUAAAGGAAUAAUAUAUGGAAUUAAUUAAUAUACGACUUUACAUCUCAUUAGAAACAGCAAUCAAUAUAGUACAAAGGUAAUAAAAAAUUUUGUUGUUUAAACUUUAAUAACGAAUGAAGCGUGUGGUUUUUUAAACACUUCUAUUUUCAUACAGCCUUAAUGUACGGUUUUGUUUUAAAUGCAGUUCAAGUUUUUGUUUUGGUACUCUUAGUUUUCUGUACUUUGUUAUUGUUAACUGUUACGUUUAAAUUACAAGUUGUUAGGUUCCAUUCUCGAGUAUGAUUAAUCUUAAACUUCAUUUAAGACUGUUCUUUUUAAUAGUUUGCUGUUGAAGAGUAACUAAAUUUUUGGUGUUCCACAUUAAGUUUCAUUAUUGAAAGUUUUCGUUAAUUUUUUUUUGUAAAUAUUGUUUUUGUUAAAAAAAAACCGUUACGUUUCAAUUUGUUACCAGUUAUUGAUUUAGUUUCAAAUCGUUAAGUUUUUCCUUUCAAGUUUCGUUACAUUAGCUGUUCUGGGAAUCUGUUUCUUUAAAGCAUUUGUUGAAAGCUG
rnacentral:misc_RNA from 1 species